ACCUCUGUAGCUCAACGGACAGAGCAUCUGGCUACGAACCAGAAGGUUCCAGGUUCAAUCCCUGGCAGGGGUU
rnacentral:tRNA from 1 species